rnacentral:rRNA from 1 species
GGAUAACCUACCCUCAGGAGGGGGAUAACCCCGGGAAACUGGGGAUAAUACCCCAUAGAUCAGGGACGCUGGAAUGCCCCCUGAUUCAAAGGUCCGCCGCCUGAGGAUGGGUCUGCGGCCGAUUAGGUUGUUGUUGGGGUAACGGCCCAACAAGCCAUUGAUCGGUACGGGUUGUGAGAGCAAGAGCCCGGAGAUGGAUUCUGAGACACGAAUCCAGGCCCUACGGGGCGCAGCAGGCGCGAAAACUUUACAAUGCGAGAAAUCGUGAUAAGGGAACCCCGAGUGCCCGUAAAUUCGGGCUGUCCAUCAGUGUAAAUAACUGGUGAAGAAAGGGCCGGGCAAGACCGGUGCCAGCCCGCCGCGGUAAUACCGGCGGCUCGAGUGGUGGCCACUAUUACUGGGCUUAAAGCGUCCGUAGCUGGAUUGUUAAGUCUCUUGGGAAAUCCACCGGCUCAACCGAUGGGCGUUCAGGAGAAACUUGCCAAUCUAGGACCGGGAAGAGGUGAGAGGUACUCCAGGGUAGGAGUGAAAUCCUGUAAUCCUUGGGGGACCACCUGUGGCGAAGGCGUCUCACUAGAACGGGCUCCGACAGUGAGGGACGAAAGCUGGGGGAGCAAACCGGAUUAGAUACCCGGGUAGUCCCAGCUGUAAACGAUGCGCGUUAGGUGUAUCGGUGACCACGAGUCAUCGAGGUGCCGAAGGGAAACCGUGAAACGUGCCGCCUGGGAAGUACGGUCGCAAGGCUGAAACUUAA